CAGGUCCUCUGGAAAAUGCAAGCCCUGAACAAAACCCAGCCCUGUCAAGCAAACUGCUUCCUAACUGCAAGCAUGGUGACCAUUCCUGCAAACAAAGGGAGAAGAAAAUAUGGCAAACUGAGCUCAGGAGUCCCACAAGAGUGUUACUCUGAGAACAUUAGUGGUGCUGACCAGCUCAUAAAGCUUGCCGUCGUGUUGAGUGCUCCUAGCCUCCGAGAGUCAACUUCAUUUUCCGUCCUGGCAAUAUACUGCUCCCGAAAACCUUAGCAAGCAAAAGAGAAGCAGAGGGAGAGCGAGCUGUGAUAUCUGGCGCUCUCCAUCCCUGUUUUUGCCUUUUGUUUCAGUGUUUGGCUCCGGACCCUGUAGAGGCCACUGAGUGAUUUAACACCUGGAUGGCCCCAGGACAGCAUUGCUGCUCUAACAGCAUGUUGUGCUCCCUUCUUCCUUAAACAGUGUCAAGUCUCUUGUUGGCUUCCCUUAGGAGCUGGGGCUGGGCGAACAGAUGCACCUAUUCCUUGGAGAAUGAAUAGUUUGUUUAUGUAGAAGAGAUGAAUGGGGCAGUAAGGCCAGCUAGGUCAGUUAUUUAGCAUGAAAAAAGCCAUCAGGAUCGCCCUGCGGUACUGCUCAAGGAAGUGUGGAGCAUACAAAGGUGUACAUACAUCCUCCAAGCCAGCCCUCCUCGGGGAGCACUUUAAUUAGGAAGGAGGGCAAAUGACCAGAGAGGCUCUGUGUGGAGGCAUGGGGACAGGCGGUGACAAGGCCACACGGCUGUCUGAGCAGAGCACCACGAUCUGUGGGUGUCCACUGGGCAUUACCUCCACCUGUGACACUUCUCCCCAAGUCCCCUGCUCAGCACCCAAGCAUUAAGGUUUAUUUUUUUAUUGCUUUUUCUUGUUUACUCCCAAGCUGAUACUGGGGGAAAGGGCUAGCUGGGAACAAGGAUGGGGAAAGUAUGUGUGCAUCUUUCUUUUUGCCCGUCUCUUUUUCUCUCAAUCUACCCUCAACAAGGGUGCCUAUAGAAUAUAGCAUAAUGCUGUAUUGUUUGGUUAGGGAUUUAAUUUCACUCCAUCACAAGCUACCAUCGGAGCCCCUGUCAUUGCAAUUUGUCACACUUUUUUGUGCGCUAUAUCUCACUGAAGUCACAUCUCCUCCUCAGCCCGUUGCAUAAUCUCCUGGUCUGGAACAAAGCUCUCCAACAUAAUGAAAGAGGUGAAAUCAGGAAAGGGAAAGUCAACGGUGACCGUUAUCACUAUAGAGCUUGCUCCCACUGGCUCUGCAGGUUCAGUCACACCACGCAAAGCAGAGUAAGAAGGACAUGCUGUGUAUGGUUUUUUUUUUUUUUUGUUUUUUUUUUGGUUUUUUUUUUUUUUUAAGCCUGUUUAUUGAACCUGCUGGCAACACCAUUGGCUGCUGAGAUAUGUAAUCCUAUUCCCUCCUGCAGACCACCAGCCAUAAAGAGGCUGCGGGAUGUCCCAGUGACCCACCAGGGAGUUGAGAGCCUCCAAAAUAGAUAUCACAGGGAAAGAAGUGGAGAAAUCAGUUUGCUUUAAAAGAAAGGGUUGACUCAUGUCUCAGCCUAAACCCACAAUAACGUGGUGCUUAGUAAAAAUACCCUAAACAGAAAGAAGAUAGAAUAGGUGCACUUUAAAGGAAAAAUGAACAUCUGCUAAAAUAAGCAGGAUUAUGUUUUCUAUAGGAGAGUGGUCAAGGACUCUGUUAUGUGUUCAAGGCUAAAUUUCAAGAUGUAAACUGACUGCUUAGAGUUCGGGGAGGGGAGGGGAAUCAUAUGGUGGUUCAUGAGGCUGCCCAUGUGCUCGGGGCUCCACACCUUGCUGCGCUGCUCCAGCCAGGACUUCAGGGUUUGCCCUGCAUUUCUCCUGGAGCACUACAACAACGUCUUAAUGUUCUUGCUUGAUGAUUAAAUUAGAAACUUUGAUUUGUUUGUGAUUCACUUACCAUGACAUCAACAAGGGCAUGUUGAUGCUGAAAAGGCAAUGAAAGUAGAGAAAUCAGCUUCAUAAAUUCUUUUGUGGACUUUUCAUAUCCUGUGGAGGGGUAGGGAGCGGCCUGAGACAGAUAGCUAAUUCACGGGACAAUACUAUUUUUGUUCUUCAUUCGCAUUGUUGCAACUCUGCCUGCUCAGAACUUGUGAAAAAAUCUGUCCGCUCUUCCUCCAGGGCUGAUUUAUCGAUGUGGGCUCCCAGGUUUGAACUAUCUGGGAAAACACUUUACCAGGCUCACAAGCAAAACACACGGAUUUGUGCUUGCAGCUUACCAGAUCUGGCAGCAGAAUUCUUUAGAAAAUGUGUUUGGAGGGUUUCUUAAGAAAUGUAAAUAAUGUCCUCUAUAAGGAAUUUCAAUUUCUCCAAGAGGAACAAAAGAAAAGAAAAAUCUGAAACACUAAAUGUUUGUGGCCUUGGGUGAACUCUUAUAUUCUAAUUUCUGCUAAAGGCUAUUUUAUUUUUUUAUUUUUUUUAUUUUUUGGUAGAAAAACUGCAUUUCAUCUGAAAGUUUUCACUAAAAAGUCCCCAAUUUUUGAUCAGUUCUGAACAGCACCCUUUCACAUUAAAUAAAGAGAAAGUAUAAGGUAUUCACAAGACAUGUAUCAAUUUGACAUCAGUGUAACAUUUCUUAAGUGGCUCAUUCAGGAGUGAAGCCCAUGACUAACAGGCAAAUGGCAGUGAGAUACAAGGAAAGAUGGUUUUACAAAGGAGAGCAAUAAGAAAGGAAAAUGUUACACUGUUUGCACCGUGUGUUUUAUAAGGAAGAUCAGGGUAACAAUGAGUCACUAUGGAAAGGAUUUAUUGGGCUACGGAGCUAAAAGUCUGUAAAGAUUAAAAUUCUGAUGGGGUUUGGAUGUGGAAUUGUUUCUGAGUUUAGUUUUUAUCCAGCACACUGUCCAAGUUAUUAAUCCCCUUGUGUUUUCUAAGCUGGGUAACUCGUUGUCGAUAUGCUCCCUCGGCCAAUUUCAGGCAUGCCGGCCCACAGGCUGGUGUAAUAUUUCUUCAGGCGAAUCACUGGGUGGUCUUGUCUUGUCUUGUGAAGAGUGAGAAGCAGAUAGCAGGAGACUUUCAAGAUUGCUGUUGCAGGCAUCAGUCUCUGAGUGGAAAAUAAUCCACCUGGAAGGACGCUGCCUUUGCAGAGAGGGGCGGCCGGCGCUGCGAUCGGGAGAUAAGUUACGCUCAGAGAUGUUUGCAGCGAAGGUGCAAUUUGUCAGUGAGAGGCAGGGCUGGCGAUUCAGCUCUCUGGUGUCUGUUAGCAUCUGCCACUCGCAUCCACUUGCAGCUUCUCUGGAAUCACUGAGCGCUAGAAAGCGGCACACUUCACUGCUGUGCGAGAGCAGGUGACUGGCAUCAGCCCUCAGUUAGCCCUCCUGACAAAGCCCAGAGACGUGUUGACUAGCUGCAGAAGGUGUCUAGUGUCCAGCUUUCCUCGGUGAUGGCCGUAUGAUCACUUGCAGCGUAGGACACAAAGGGACCCCAAGUGGGACAACCCCACGUGAAAAUACAGUAGGCAGGGAAGCGUGUUGCGAUAGUCUUGGCUCCACAGCUGCUAUCUACCAUGUUUUCCUCACAUCGCUGAUGGUGAGAUGCUCUUGGAGGAAGGAGAUAUGACUUGAAAGGGAAGCAAAGAGUCCAGUUGGGACAGUUUGUUCCUACAGGCAGCAUUUACCUCCUGUGAAUGCUGUCAGAGAAGGCAAGAUGCCAGUGGACAAUACUGCCUGCAGGGAGGAGCAGGGAGCUGGGGCUUUGCAUGUGGCUGUGUGGAAGCCAGCAGAGUCCCUCCGUGCUAAUCCCUUGGUGUCUCUGAAUUGCUGAGGAGACUGAUUGCAGGUCUUGCCCUUGAGUACAAGUGCUCCAGGUCAGAUUCACUGUAGCUGGAGGUUUUUGCAAGUAUGUUUCCCACUGGUGCGUUGUACACCAGGAGGCAAUAUCUUGUUUCCUGGAGAAGAACUUGAUAUUAUCACUAAGAAGAAGAUUUAACAGAGGAAUCUGGUGAACUUGUCACCGCCCUGCAUAGUUUCUCUGGUUUUGCUUUUGUUAAAGCAGUUUACAUAGGGUAAGGAGAUAGGAUGGAACUAGGAUCCUUUUUGUUUUGUUGUUGUUAAAAACCUUAUUACAAAGAAAGGGAUCAGAAUGUUCACAGCUCAAGCUUGACUUGGAAAAGGUUGCCUAGUGUCUGAAUUUAUCCAAAUUAUCCAUGCUACUGUUAGGACAAUGAGUCAUGAAAUUUACAACACUUUCAUUUCUUGUCCCAGCUGGAACUACUACUAGAACAUUUUUGUGUGCUGGUCUGGUGUUCUCAGCUCUGGUCCCAUCUGGAGUUAGUAAGAUGCACCUGAGUGGGAAACACUUAGCUGAACAUUUCAAAACAAUGAGGCACAACAUUAAAGACUGAGACCUAAGGGUUCAUGUCGUCAGAUCUAGGCUUGAAGAACAAUUUUGUGUUUGCUCCAGUAAAGGCAGGUGCUGGGCUACUGGGAUAGAGGCAUCAGAGAUGUGUCUGCUGCUUUAGGGCUCAAAGGACAGAGGAAACUUCAUUAAGCUUUGUAAGUUGUAAGUUUUAAUGGGCACAUGCCUAAACACCUUUAUUGCUUAACCUUGUUUUUGGUGUGGCUUGUACACAAAUUCCAUGGAUCAUCAGCAAAAAAUUUGCUGAAUAAGUGAAAAUAUCUUGAAUGGAGUUUUGUUUAAAGGACACCCUUCAUGAAACAGAGUGAGGAAAACUACUGCCAGUCAGUGUAUCUUUGCAAUGCCAUAAUCUGUUGCUAUUUGUAGACGUUUUAUGUAAUGAUGAGGAUUUACUUGAGAUUUUUCUCAGGAGCUUGGCUGGGUCGUAAUGGCACUAAAUUCCUAUCAUUGGGUUUCAGAACACAGACUCCCACUCUGCAAGCUGAUGUGACCAAGGCAAAUCACAUAUGAUCAAGUUUUCUGUAGUUCUUCAGCAAGUUCUUACAAGUGCUUAAGCAGGUUAAGUGCCCAAAUCCUAUUACUUUAGUUUUGAAAAGCUGGCUUUUAGUCUUUCUAGUACAUAUGUUCAUAGGUAUUUAUGAUCCCAGCUACCUCUGAUGAUUUCCCCCUCUGUGCCUUCAGCAAAAGACGGAGAAUAGCACUACCUUAUCUACCAGAGAUACUGGGGGGAUAAGUACAUUAAAGAUUCCUCAGAAGUCACUUGUGCUGGUUGAUCUCACAGGUGUAUUUACAUGGCUUGAUUCUCUUCCCAUGAACUCAUUUGAAAUAAAUAGAAAUGCAGUGGUAAUAGAGCUGGUGUCACCAAAGAAUGAUUCUUAUAAUGUCAUACCCUGCUCAGAGGCAGCAUGGGUGUAGAACCCAAGUGCCCUUCUUAUUUGGAGAGGGCUUGUUUCAGUUAAGCAACAGUUGAGAUAUGUAUAGGAUGGAAGCCUUCCUUCCUACUCUGUCGCCGUGGUUAUGGGGGCAAAAUGGAGCUUUUGCAGAAGUACUUCUAGUUCUAUAUAGCUACCAGCUAAACUAUCAGAAUUAACCUGGUAUUCAUUCCUAUUACCUACCCCUUUAUUUUUGAGGCAAAAUGAGCACAAACACUUUGGUUCAGAAAGAUGGAAAUUUACACUCCAGCAAAUAGCUGAGCGUUAAUGACAUUCACCCUAUAUAGAAGCAUAUAUCUUAUAGGAAACUGCAUUGGUUAUGCUUGAGAAAUCUUUCUAGGACAGUCAUUGCCCUGAGACUUAUGCAUCUGCAUAAAGUCUACUACAUUAGAAACUGAACAGAAUGGCCCGUCUCUCCCACGGUCUUAAGUUAACACUUUUCCUUUUGUCUGGGGCACCCUUUUCUAAACUUGAAAUCCAAUUGGCCAACAAUUAAAGCCAAUUAGCACGUGAGGAAAAUAAACCACAGACCCCACUUCUAUGUAUUUCAUGGGCUGUUAGAAAGCCUAGUUAGCUCAAGGCAUUAGCAUAGUUCAGGAUCGGUCGAGGCACACAGCACAGACUAGUUGGCUUAAAGUAUUAGAGGACUGCGAUAGCGGGCUGGCUGAGCAGCAGUGUUAUUCUGGGCUCACAGCUGCCAAACAUUCUUGACAGGAGAUGAGGCAGAUGUCCAAGGACAAUCAAAGAGAGAAGAAAGUUUAAGCCAACGUUUGCCUAUCUCAUAUUCUCUACUUGAUCCUCUCCUCAAAGACAAGGCACAGCUGUUGCACUUCAAGGUCUAUCUGGCUGAACCCAGCAGCUCCUCCUUUUCCCCCUCCUGGCCUGCCUGAGCUUUCUCUGUGUUGGACUUUGGCAACCUACCAGACCUCAUUAACUCCUAACAGGACGAUUCGUGACGCUAAAUGGGUCUUAUUUAAUCUUUUUGCAUGUGUGUGAGUAUCUGAGGACAAUUCUGCUGCAUACUAAUUGCAUGAAAAUGUGGCGGAUUAUAGUUAUGUGAGCAUUGCCCACCAGUCUACAAGGGAUCACCCCAGGCCACAAGAACAAGCACUGUAACAUUAACAAGGUGAUUUUUCACAGCUGCGAUGGCAAAGGUGAUACAAAAACAGCAGACAAAAGUGUUUCACAGACAAAGGCAUCAAGAGGCUCGGUCAUUUUGCUCUCACUGAUGAAUAAAAAUACAAGAACUGUUGUGAUAAUGAACACGGUGAAUGAUGGCAGGUGUAUUAGUAAGAACAGAAGUGCCAUAUCUAUAGCUCCCAGCCCUACACAACAAUUUAUCCCACUCGCAGCCUGCUCUCUGCAGCCCUGUUUUCUGCCUGAUGUUUGGAUUUGGGUACAGACUGAGCGGUAGGCCAGAUUUUGUGAUACUCAUGUCAACUUCUGCUUUCCUUUUUCUGAGUUCCACAGCAACUCCUCUCACACAACAAGCAUGGGGCAAGUGUCUACUAUGUGGCCAUAUGAGAUGGGGAUGUCUCAAACUUAAUCCCAUAAUAGCCAGGUGAUAAAGGAAGGACCAGGCUAAAUAGCUUUCAAAUGUCUUCUACUUAAAGAAAUAUAUUGCACUCCAGGACCCCCCAAAUUGAAUGUCACUGACCUACAGGAACAGGCUGGGACACAAGAAACUUGGGCUCUGCCUCUCCUUAGCCUUCAGCAAAUCAUUUACUUUCUCAUGGUUUAUCCUGGGCCAGUGCAUGGGAAUAAUAACAGUUAGCUGUGUUUCGAAAGCACUGUGAGACUGUCAGAGGAAAGGAAUUGGCUAACUUCAAAGUAGUGCUAUUAUUAACUGCAUACAGAGCUGUGGAAAAGAUGUAACUGGCCAGUUUAAUUCAAGUAGCCAGCUGAGUUUCCUGGGCCAAAAAUAUGGGGAGUUUGUUUUAGAUUUUCCAAAUGAGAAACAAAGCGUGUUUCUCAAAGACAGAUACCUUCAUGCUUUACGUUUUUUGAAUUUUUUACAUAUGGAGAAUUUUUGCACAGGCAGAGUAGCAACCAUGUGCAAAUAGCAGCUGAGAUUUGGGCAUGUGUUAUUUUGUUCCCCAAAGUACAUCUGCAAUGAGUCUGAAUGAGCAAUCCUACAAUAACAAAUGUUUCUAAGUCUAUAAUGGAGCAAUUCUC